CGGAUGAGCUAGAACUGCGCUGUUUGCAUACGGGAGAUAGUCAGCUGACUCCCUCCUGCCCUUUAGAACGUGGAAAAACCCUGACGUUGAACAAGGCGGAGACUGAGGACUUCACAUAGCAGCUAAUCUACCUGGCUGGAUGCCACAGCUGUAAUUCAUCUAAACACCCACCCUGAAGAAGGCUAGGAGGCUGGCCAGCAUGACAGCAAAUUGCAUUUCUGCUCCAAGAGAUGUGGGAGGUGAUUGCCAAUGAGACCUGCUGUCUACAGACCUGGAGCAAUUCCUUCCGAGGCCUCCUCUCCGAAUGCUGAGCAGUUCCGUAAGGGACUGACGGUGAUUGCCAAAACCUCUCUGCCCUGAAGGCAGCAAGUGGAAACGUUUCCGUUUCUCCUCUGGAUCUGACCCGAAGUCCCGGGACCCGAUGCCAUUCUGAAGGUUUAUUAGCGAGUCCUUCAUCUGCAAGACAAGAAAUGUCUCCAAUGUGAUGCUACUCUAAAUCCAAGAGAUCUCUCUCCUUGACUUGCCUGGACUUAAGAGAGGAAAGAGAAGCUGUGGCAUCCUAUGAGCAGCCGUUGGGAUCUACCGCACGCACCUACCUCAGAAGAGGCCUCUAAAGGGAGAUGGGAACAGAGGUCAUCUACCUCACUGGCUGCAGUGGAACCAGGUAAGGCUGUGGGAUCACAGGCGGGCAGCUAGCCAGCUGAGAGGACAUGGUGCCCGUCCAGUCACAGUGUCAACUGGCCAGAGUGGCAUUCUCACCUG